AUCAUUUUGCAAAUCACCAUAAUAUCAGCUCCAACUCCAAAAAAUAGCACAUUUCAAAAUUCCUAUCUUAAUAUCAGCUAGUUCCAACUACAGAAUGGACGCAAUUUCAAAUUCCUCGUCCGAGACCAUAAUCUCAACUCCAACUCCAGUUUUGCUUGCAAAAGACGUGCUCCCACAAUUUCGAAGUUCUCCGCAAACUCCCUAUCUUCUGUGGAGAAAGAAAAUCAGCUCCAACUCCAAAAAAGUAGCUCCUACGGAAGUUUCACAAGCUGUCUUAAUAAAAGCAUCUUCCAACAAAAUAGAAGGAUUAAGGGAUGAAUUGCAAUCGAUCUAGUAAAGAAAUAUAUGAAUACCUGGGAGCUGGAUGAAAAUGCGUUACAAAAGUUAAGAACAAUUUCAAGAAAUCUCAGCCAUAUUAUAAUCUCUUGCCAUUUGAUUGGCAAUAUCGAUCUCAAGCAUGUCCAUCUUGGUUCCCUCCGCAGUCGAUGCAUCAGAUAUAACCUCAUCUUCUAUAGGUCCAAACAAGCACCCUGGAUUUCCAUAUAAUGAAAAGUUCUUAUCCCUCUUGUCUUGAUCACGAAUGUAAUUAUGAAUAGCACAGCAUGCAAUUACAACACAUGCUUGCUUUUGAACCGCAAAUGAAGGCAUGUGUCUCAAAAUGAAGAAGCGGUUUUUUAAUGCUGCAAAUGAUCUCUUAAUGACAUUCCUUAAUGAAGAAUGCCUAUAGUUGAACAAUUUUCUUGUUUUUGUUGGCCGUCUUGAUGUACCCCUAUAAUCAUUUAGGUGAUACCGUUCACCUUUAAAAGGAGUUAAAAAUCCCGGAGCUGUUGCAUAACUGGAAUCUACCACGUAGUAUUUGCCUAUAAUAAGAUAUUCAUAAAUUGGUCAUGAUAUA